rnacentral:tRNA from 1 species
GCCGCCUUAGCUCAGCUUGGUUAGAGUACCACGCUCAUAACGUGGUGGUCCCGAGUUCAAAUCUCGGAGGCGGCA